rnacentral:rRNA from 1 species
UACGUAGGUGGCAAGCGUUGUCCGGAUUUACUGGGCGUAAAGAGCGCGCAGGCGGUUUGUCGCGUCGGGAGUGAAAACUCAGGGCUCAACCCUGAGCGUGCUUCCGAUACGGGCAGACUAGAGGUAUGCAGGGGAGAACGGAAUUCCUGGUGUAGCGGUGGAAUGCGCAGAUAUCAGGAGGAACACCGGUGGCGAAGGCGGUUCUCUGGGCAUUACCUGACGCUGAGGAGCGAAAGCAUGGGGAGCGAACAGG